UACGUAGGGUGCAAGCGUUGUCCGGAAUUAUUGGGCGUAAAGAGCUCGUAGGCGGUCUGUCGCGUCUGCUGUGAAAAUCAGGGCUCAACCCUGGACCUGCAGUGGGUACGGGCAGACUAGAGUGCGGUAGGGGAGAUCGGAAUUCCUGGUGUAGCGGUGAAAUGCGCAGAUAUCAGGAGGAACACCGGUGGCGAAGGCGGAUCUCUGGGCCGUAACUGACGCUGAGGAGCGAAAGCAUGGGGGAGCAAACGGGG
rnacentral:rRNA from 1 species